CUGAGCUACAAAAAUACAUAUUCUAUACAUUGUCAUUUCUAUAAAUGUAUAAUCAGAAAUCUAUUGGAACUAAAUGAAAGCCUUACACGCAUUACUCUAUCUGUUAGGUCAUCAGGAGAAACAAAGCUCUCCCUGUUAUUAGUUUAAAUAGUUGGAUCCAUAGAGCAAUUGGUAAUCAUACCUCUCUGAUGUCCCUAUUUGGAAGGUACAGUCUCUAUUUUAG